rnacentral:rRNA from 1 species
CCAAUAGCGUAUAUUAAAGUUGUUGCAGUUAAAAAGCUCGUAGUUGAAUUUCGGAAUCAAUGGAUCGGUCAUGCCACUCGGUGUGUACUGGUUUGAUUGGUUCUCACCUUCUAAGGAACCGUGAUGUCAUUAAUUUGGUGUCGCGGGGAAUUAGGACUGUUACCUUGAAAAAAUUAGAGUGUUUAAAGCAAGCUCACGCUUGAAUACAUUAGCAUGGAAUAAUGAAAUAGGACAUUGUAUUCUAUUUUGUUGGUUUCUAGGAUCGAUGUAAUGAUUAAUAGGGAUAGUUGGGGGCAUUAGUAUUCAUUUGUCAGAGGUGAAAUUCUUGGAUUUAUUGAAGACUAACUACUGCGAAAGCAUUUGCCAAGGAUGUUUUCAUUAAUCAAGAACGAAAGUUAGGGGAUCGAAGACGAUCAGAUACCGUCGUAGUCUUAACCAUAAACUAUGCCGACUAGGGAUCGGAUGAUGUUAAUUUUUUAAUGACUCAUUCGGCACCUUACG